rnacentral:rRNA from 1 species
AGAGUUUGAUCCUGGCUCAGAAUCAACGCUGGCGGCGUGCCUAACACAUGCAAGUCGAGCGCGAAAGUUUCUCUUCGGAGGGACGAGUAGAGCGGCGGACGGGUGAGUAGCACGUGGAUGAUCUGCCCUUUGGCGGGGGAUAACCCGGGGAAACCCGGGCUAAUACCGCAUAAUCCCGUAGAUUCGUUUUUACGGGGAAAGGCUUUUGUCGCCGAAGGAGGGGUCCGCGCACGAUUAGCUGGUUGGUGAGGUCAUGGCUCACCAAGGCUUCGAUCGUUAGCCGGUCUGAGAGGACGGACGGCCACACUGGGACUGAGACACGGCCCAGACUCCUACGGGAGGCAGC